GACAGGGCACAGGUCAAGUAGGUGAUGGUGUGAUUAUGAGAGGGGUGCAUUUGUCCCACGACCCAGCACAACUUCCUAAUCAUCUCCUCUGUGCCCUCCCCUGGGCUGGCCCCUGGGGAUGGAGACAUUGAAGGACACAGUGCCUGCCCUAUUGGGUCCUGAAGUCUGGGGUGGCAAAAGGAGGCGCAUGAAGCCAACAGAUUAUAGGACAAUGCAGACUCAUAAUAGUUACCGACAAGAAUGAAUGAUGUGCAACAGGAAAGGGAGAGUCUGCUGCAGCCUGGAAGCAUCAGAGGAGGCCAGAGAGAGAAGGGAGUAUGGCAGCCCAUUCUUCAAAAAUGAGGACAUCUUUCACUGGAGAUGCAAACGCCUGAAAAGGAGGAUGGUGCAACUUCGAAGUGGGAGAGUGCAGGGAGAUGACAAUGAUAGGACAGGAGUGAGCUCUACUGUGUAUAUGCUCUUGAGAUCAUGAG
rnacentral:lncRNA from 1 species